UACGAAGGGGGCUAGCGUUGCUCGGAAUUACUGGGCGUAAAGGGCGCGUAGGCGGACAGUUUAGUCAGAGGUAAAAGCCCAGGGCUCAACCUUGGAACCGCCUUUGAUACUGACUGUCUUGAGUUCGGGAGAGGUGAGUGGCAUGCCGAGUGUAGAGGUGAAAUUCGUAGAUAUUCGGCGGAACACCAGUGGCGAAGGCGACUCACUGGCCCGAUACUGACGCUGAGGCGCGAAAGCGUGGGGAGCAAACAGG
rnacentral:rRNA from 1 species